AUGGCAAAUUAAACUCUUGAAUCUUGAAUCUUACACCUGGCAAUAAACACGAUUCUGAUUCUGAUUCCAACUGAGGCAUUAUAGAGUGAUGUUUAGGUGGAUGAAUGAACAUGAUGGUGCCACCAUGCACUUCUGCAUGCGUCUGUUGGGGGGCGUGAGAGGCGCUGCUGUGGGUUUUCUUAUUUCUUAUUAUAAUUACAUUGGUCGUCUUGCAUAAUAUCAAAAAAUCUCAGAGGGUGGGAACAGAGUUACCUCACUGACUCACAAGGGGGUGGGCCUUGGAGGGCGUAUAUGAUUGAGGACAAAUGAGAUGUUAAACCAUUUGGAGACAAGGAGGAGAUGGAGAUGAUGUAGCCAUCCGGAGCUGGACAGCCCCAAGUCCUCGGGUUUGGAGAGGGGAGGAUUUGGGGCUGUGGAUGUGGAGGACAGAAAUGCACGGAGAGAAACGAGAGAGGACCCGUUAGAUUUGAAGAAAUGGACGCGCCCGUCGUCACAAAGCUCAAUACUGACGCUCCUGAACGCGCUCAUUUGGCUCCCAGCAUGCUGCACGUCCAGAGGGACCUGCUGGUUAACCAGGAGCUCAUCUCAUCCAAAACCCAAUGCAACCUGGCUGCUGCUGCACCUGCAUGAGGAGGACACAAAACGUGCAUGCAAACGCACCAGAUGAAUAUGAAGACGAGGACUUCCUCCAACUUCCAGGUGUUUCGGAGGUUGUGUGUGUGUGUGUGUGUGUGUGUGUGUGUGUGUGUGUGUGUGUGUGUUGCUGGCAGAGAGCGGUGUUCGCAGGCCUGAGGGGUUGUCUGUUAUCUUUGGUUAUCUAGCUGUAUGAGUGACGUACAUUCUUCAUAAAGCUAGAUAACCGAAAGUAACAAGAAUCCCAUUACACGCCUGCACGGAGGAACAAAACAAAAUAUGAAAAAAAACACAUAAAGAAGCAAGAAUGGGCUCCGGACGAUGGAUGUUGCCAACCGAUGACGUGAAGGUUUCGGAUCAGUCUGGAGUUGGGAAUUAUCCGUCCUUUUGCUUCUCCGCUCUUGUGGACUGUGACUUUUGAGUCCAGCGAUGUUCAUUUCACACAGGACUACGUCAUUAACCGCUAACAUACGGGAGGAAACACACGGAUUCUGUGAACACAGCCGUCUCCAACAACAAGAGGACAAAGUUAAAACCGCCGGGUCUUAAAGCUGGUAAUGGAUACAAAAGUGACCGUUUUCGGCCGCUACAGCAGAACAUCUUUAUCUGAAUGACGACAGAAGACUUUGAUACAAGCGGUACAAACUGACAGUUGGCCAUCAUGAGGCUGGAACAGAGCGUACAGGACGGCAAAGUGAGCUGUUGUACACGGUGUUCUUGGGAAAUGCUCUGCACAGCUGUUCAGGAAACAUCUGCACUAGAUUUUCAUGUAGGUCAGAGCUUAGAUUUCUCUCUCUCUCGAUCACGCACACAAAAAAAUCUGUCAUUUGAUAUUAAAACAAAUUUAAAAAAAAAAUGAAAAAAAGGUUAGAUGAUGGUAAAAAUAGUUGCUGUGGUGUUUUGAAUUUUUAGCGUUAUUCAUUAGUUUAACAAUUUAUUCUCUUUUUUUAUCUUAGAUCUUAAAUCUUAGCUUUUAAAUUUAUUUUUUUCUCAUUUAUCUCUUGAAUCCUACUUGUUUCUAAUUAUUUCAUCUUACAAUUAAAUUAGUCUCUUUGUCUCAUGUAAAAUGUUGCAUGUUUCAAUCAAGUUGUUGACAAUCUGUGUGACUGGAUUACUUGAAACAUUUGAAAUUAUUAUUUUUUCGUGCGAUAAAUGUUUUAUGGAAUUCAUCCAUCAACUAUGAAUUGUUUAUCAAUCGUUCAGAUUAUUUGAAUUUUUUAGUUUAAUUUAGUUGAGGUUUUUUUAGACACAUGCAGUACAUUUUUCUCAUUUUUUUCAUCUCAUAACUAUAUUUUGUACAUUUCUAUAUUAUUUAAGGGCUGUAUAACCUUUAACAUCAGCUCAUGUGAAGCUUUUAUGGAGGUCUUAUAAGGUUCUAUUUUUACAGCCACUUAUCAUGUACAUCACAUUUUAUUUUACCUUUUUUUUAUUUUGUGUAGAAUAUCGUUAUUAAAUCUUUAUCAAAUUAUAUUUUUAUUUUUAGUGUACACAUUUUAUCAAGAGAGCUUCUAUCACUGCAGGAAGCAUUUUGUGCAAUUAAAAUACAUUUUGAUUUUAUUUUUUUUAUCUAUGCAAAAGAAAUGAGCAGGAGGUUUUGUUAAGUUUGCACUAUGUGUAUAAGUGUUUGCACAUGAAUUGUAUGGUAUACGUUUGCACAUUAGCAGCUAAAUGUACGGGUUCAGUUUGUGUGAGGGAAUUGUGGUGUUUUACUAACAUGCACUAUUAUGAGCACAGGUGCAAUGUGUGUGUGUGUGUGUGUGUGUGUGUGUGUUUGAGUGUGUGUGCUACGUUUUAGGUUUCAUUAGAAACAAUGAAUACAGUCUUUCCAUUGAUUUCAUCAGUAAUUGCAGUCAGCCUCAGAGACUAAAAUCUGGUUUUAUUCCACAUUUCAUUUGUUAAAUCAGCUCCUCUGACAAUAUGAACACAUGAAUGCAUGGGAUUUUGUUUUGAUCUAAUGUGGAGAGCUUGUGCAAUAGAGUUUAUGCAGUUUGAAUACUAUUUCGAGGGAAUAACUGAUCAUAUUGUAAUGCACUGAACUACUGUUUCAGGAGUGUUAUAAGCAGGAUUUGCACAUGAGCUGCUGUUAAUGUGUUUUUACUAUGCAACUGUUUCUACUGCAGUUAAUUUAAAUCAAUAAAAGUAUUAAUGUUUACAAGAGACAA